rnacentral:lncRNA from 1 species
CUCUUUCUUACUCUCUCUCGCCAGAUCUGGCUCCGACAAUGAAGAGAAAGAAAAAGCGCAAGCCAAAUUCUCCACCAUCUGCUACGCAGCCGCACCGCCGUCGAAAAGCUAACCCCUUUCAUGAUUUUUUUGUGUUUUGUUUGUAUUAUUUUGUGUAAUCUGUGUGAAAUUUUUGUUAAUUGUUUUAGCUGCUUUUGUUUUCUCUGUCUUUGAAUUUCAAAUCUCAAGCUAUGGAUAAUUCUCUGUUGCCUGCGUUUUUACACAUCACAAAAGUUGAUACCUGAAGCUUUGAAUUAUUUUAAUUUGUGAGUCAUUAAUUGAAAUUGAUAGUAGUAAUCUAGCUUCAUCUCUUUCUUAGACUCUCUCUCUCACACACACACACACACACUUUGAAGCACUCUGUGUGGGGGUGAUUUUAAUUACCAAUUACUUGGGGAAGGAAUAGUACAGAGGGGAGUGAAAGUGCGUGCGUUGAGUGUGUGUGAGUGUGUGUGAGGGAUUGUUGAGGGCUUGUGUUUUGUUUUAUUUCAUUGAUGUGUGUACAUGGACUAAAUGUUUGAAUAAUUGUUAGUUUGAGUGUUGAUAUGCAAAUUGUUUCUGGAGUUUGCAGUAUCUGUACAAAAUGUUUUGUCAUUCCCUAAAUCAAUAUAUAUGCAUUCUUUUUGUUUUUUUUUUUGGUGUUUUUUUUUUGUUUUUUUGUUUUUUUUUGUUUUUUUUGUUUUUUAAUUUUAAACCGUGUUCAUAUAAUUUGAGUAUAAUAAUGGAUAUGCUGCAUCGUAGAAUUUUGGUUUUUCGUUUAACAAUAAACAUGCUGCAAUUUGCUCGUUUUCUCGACAUUGUUUGCUCCGAAAUCCUCGUAUUAUACAGUCUUGAAUGUUCUUGAAUAAAUUAUGGAGCUUCGAGUGAAGUGCAAAUAGCAUAUAUAUAUAGUCACAUAUGGUCACAUACUUAUAUAUAUAGUUAUAUGUGUAGUCAUAUAUAGUCGCAUAUGGUCAUAUACAUGUAGUCAUAUAUAGUCACGUGUAGUCAUAUAUAUGUAGUCAUAUAUAGUCACGUGUAGUCAUAUACAUGUAGUCAUAUAUAGUCACGUGUAGUCAUAUAUAGUCACGUGUGGUAAUAUAUAGUUAUGUAUAAGCUAUGUACUAACAUGUAGUCAUGUAUGAGUUAUGCGAGAAGUAUAUGCUGGUGAUGUAUAUGUAUGUCUGUGUAGAUUCAAAUUUGAAGAAAAAAUCAUUGUUUGUUUAACUAUUUUUCUUUUUCGCAGGUCUUGGUGUUUGUUUGAAUUACAGUAAGUUUUUGCGGAGUGGACUUUGUGUUCGUCGUUCAAAAUAAGCUGUACUCGUGUUGAAAAGUGAAAUUUCAGUCAAAUUUAGUCGUAUAGAUAACGAUAUAUAACUAUAGAUGACUAUAGUCAUGUAUAGUUCCAUAUGGUAAUUUAUACUUAUAUACAAGUUAUACGGUUUUUCUGAUGUAUAGUGAUCUUGAUGAUUGUGUUUUUUUUGUUGGGUACUAAUUGAUUUAUAAUACAAGAUUCAAAUUGUGAAUUUAUUUGUUGCUGCAAUUUUUUUUAUAUAUAUAUGUAACCAAUGGUUUACCAUAAUUUUGGAUUAAAAGACUACACAUAACUGUGAUAUACUAUAGUCAUGUGUAGUCAAUUUGGAAAUUAUCAAAAAAAUAAAAAAAAGUGUAGUCAAUUUGGAUACAGUAAAUUUAUCAAGAAAAUUUAAAAAUUAAAAAAAAAUAAAAAAAUUAAAAUAUUAAAAAAAUUAAAAAAAUUAAAAAAAUAAUAAAAUUAAAAAAUAAAAAAUAAAAAAUAAAUAAAAAUAUACGAAAGAGGAUAUAUAUAAAAAUUAAUAAUAAAUAAACAUUUAUAUUUUUAUAUUAAAAAAAUAUAUAAUAAUGAUAAAUGCAGGUCUAUCAAUGCUAAAUGCAGUCUGUCAUAGUGCUGAAUGCAGCUGGCAAAAUUACUGAGUGCAGUUGGGCAAAAUUGCAUUUAAGGGCACAUUAGUACUUUUACCUCUCUAGGGGUGUAUCUCAAAGAAAGAUUUUUAGGGNNNNNNNNNNNNNNNNNNNNNNNNNNNNNNNNNNNNNNNNNNNNNNNNNNNNNNNNNNNNNNNNNNNNNNNNNNNNNNNNNNNNNNNNNNNNNNNNNNNNNNNNNNNNNNNNNNNNNNNNNNNNNNNNNNNNNNNNNNNNNNNNNNNNNNNNNNNNNNNNNNNNNNNNNNNNNNNNNNNNNNNNNNNNNNNNNNNNNNNNNNNNNNNNNNNNNNNNNNNNNNNNNNNNNNNNNNNNNNNNNNNNNNNNNNNNNNNNNNNNNNNNNNNNNNNNNNNNNNNNNNNNNNNNNNNNNNNNNNNNNNNNNNNNNNNNNNNNNNNNNNNNNNNNNNNNNNNNNNNNNNNNNNNNNNNNNNNNNNNNNNNNNNNNNNNNNNNNNNNNUACGCCGACGUCGUUCCGAAGACCGCCGAGAAUUUCCGCGCACUCUGCACCGGAGAGAAAUGAGUCGGCAGAUCUGGCAAGCCAGUCCACUACAAGGGCUCAUGCUUCCACCGCGUGAUCCCCAACUUCAUGUGCCAGGGAGGCGACUUCACCGCCGGAAACGGCACCGGAGGCGAGUCGAUCUAUGGAGCCAAGUUCGCCGACGAGAACUUCGUAAAAAACAGUUAGAAUAUAGAUGUGGGAUGGUGAUGCUGUGGUGUGGCGACGACGUGGUGACGAUGAAGAACAGAUCUAGGGUUUUUUUUGUGGAUUUUGGCGGAAGACGGCGCAGAAAAAAAAAAUUCGCGCAGGCCGGGCCCUUAAUCGACUACGUGGUUUAAUUGACUAUGUUCAAUAGUCGAUUAAGGCUUAAUCGACUAUGUUCAAUAGUCGAUUAAGGCUUAAUCGACUAUGUUCAGUAGUCGAUUAAGGUUAACCGACUCUAAUUGUUAAUUUUUUUUUUUUGAUUUUUUGUUUUAUUGACUCCAAUGUAUAAAUCAAUUACAAUGUUUGUAUUUUUUUUAAAUAUAAUUGAUUUUGUAUUUUUUUGUAAUUGUGAUUUUUUAUGACUAUGCAUUAAUAAACCUGAUAGAGAAAAAAAUUAAAAAAACCAAAAAACAUUUAAAAACAAAAUUAGAAAAAAAAAAAAGUUAAAAAAUAAAGAUUUUCCUUAAUCGACUAUGAAGCAUAGUCGAUUUAGGACUAAUCGACUAUGCUUCAUAGUCGAUUAAAAAAACGGAAAAAAAAAAACGCGGAGCGUGUGACCUAGUGAUGAGGUGGCGGGCGGGGGUAAAGCUGGAAAGCAUAAUAGCUGAAAUUGGAAUUGGACUUUUCUCAAAUGGUCUAAAAUAUUUUGGGCUUAUCUCCAUUAAAAAAAGUAAUGGGGGUUAUGUCAAAGAGCCCCAUAUAUAUAUAUAUACACACACGUGUGUAUGUAUAUAAUUUAGGGGAAAGUACAGUUUGCACCCCUGAACUAUAGGGUCUGUCACAAAUACUCCCCUAAACUACAAAACGUAACAAACUAACCCCUGUAUUCUAUGGUCAACGUUAAGAAAACUAACACCGGCAGUUUUCAUGAGCAAUUACUUAUUUGCCCAUCAACUUUGGUCUCUCUCCUCUCUCUUCUUCUUCUCGCCUUUUUUUCUCCUUUUCUUUUCACAGAGAUUCUCUCCUCUUUGCCCCUCUCCUCUCAUCUUAUACUCUCAUAUGCAUCAGAUCCAAGUUAUCAAGAUAGAAAUUGCAAGCUUAUGUUUUUCUUUUUCUUUUAAAAAACCUAGACUAACCCCUCUUUGUCUUUCUGCAAAAUCCAUCUAGUAUUAAAGUUCUCCAGCAAAACCCAAUUAAACCAUAGAACUCAUCCCCUGUUUUAUUUUUGUUCAAAAAAGUAAAAAAAAAAAUAGAAGAGGAGAAGAGAAGAGAAGAAUCAAGAUCUGAGCCACAAGCUUGUUUCUAAAAUCCUCGAAAUCCCUGAAUUUCCGUGCAAAAUUUGUUGUGGUGGGCUUUGUCUUCGCGCCACGUUGAUCCCCGUCGACUUCACCGCCGGCAUGGUUGGCAUCACCAAUCCGGUGCUCUGCAAGUCUUCUAAGAGCUUUUUUGGUGAUUGGUUUGUGUUUGAUUGACCUUCCUCCGGCACGGCGUUGUAUUCUUAGGUUUUUGUCAACAAGCUACUGUAACCAUGGUGCAGCAAGAUUCCCAUUUAUAUAUUAUAAUAAAAUGUUAAUUCUACACACACACACACACAUAUAUAUAUGGGCGAAUAGCAAAAAGGUCCAUCACAUGGGACUUAAAUGCAUUUUGGUCCACACAAAAAACAGUCUCUCAAUUAAGCCCAUCCUUAUGUCUUUAGUCUAAAAUACCUUCAACAAUAUAAUUCUUAUCAAUUCCACCCAUUAUGUUCUAACUUCUUUCAUAUUACACAUUGACCCCAUAUUUAAACAAAUAUAUCACAUUAACCACCAAAACUUUUUUUUCAGAAAAUAAUUUUUUUUUCUGAAAUAUUCAGAUUCCGGCCAGAUUUCCGGCGUUGACCGCCGGUCUCCGGCAUUGACUUUUUUUUUUUUUUUUUUUUUGAAUUUUUUUUUCUUAGAAGAAAAAAAUAUUUUAAUUAAUAUUAAUGUUUUAGCUACUAAAUUACUAUCUCAGACAGUAAUAUUACUGUUUGGGACGGUAAUAUUAUGAAUAUUAUUUUUCCGAACAGUAAUAUUAUGAAUAUUAUUUUUCCGAACAGUAAUAUUAUGAAUAUUAUUUUUCCGAACAGUAUUAUUAUUAAUAUUAUUGUCUAAUAUAGUUAAAUUACUGUUGAAGACAGUAAUUUAGCAUCUAAGGCAGUACUAUUAAUUAAAAUAUUUUUUUUUAAGAAAACAAAUGAAAAAAAAGUCAAUUAACAGUUAAAUUACUGUCUCCGACAGUUAAAUAACUGCUGGAGACAGUAAUUUAGCAAACGAAUACAGUAAUAUUAAUUAAAAAUAUUUUUUUUAAGAAUAAAGAAGUCAAUUAACAUUUAAAUCAAUGUCUCCAACAGUUAAAUAACUGUUGGAGACAGUAAUUUAGCAAGAUAAAGUAAUAUUAAUUAAUAUAUUUUUGAAGAAAAAAAAAAUCAAUUAACAGCUAAAUUACUGUCUCCGGCAGUUAAAUAACUGCCGGAGACAGUAAUUUAGCAGCCAAGACAGUCAUAUUAAUUAAAAAAAAUUAAGAAAAAACAAAAUUAUAAAAAAAAAAAAAAAAAUGAACGCCGGAGACCGGCGGUCAGCGCCGGAAUCUGGCCGGAAAAAAAACAUUUCAGAAACAAAAAUGUUUUCUGAAAAAAAAAAUUGGGGGUUAAUGUGAUAUAUUUGUUUAAAUCCGGGGUCAAUGUGUAAUAUUAAAGAAGUUAGAGCAUAAUUGGUGGAAUUGAUAAGAAUUAGGGUUAAAAUUGGGGUCAAAAUUGAAAUUAGGAUUAAAAUUGGUUAAUUGAUGAAAUUGGGCUAAAUUGGGGUGUAAAUCAUGAAAUUGGAGUUGAAUUGGGUUUCAAUGAAUUUGGGGUAAUUUUGGUAUAUAUGAAAGGAUUUUCCUUAUUUGCAAAUAAGUUUGAAUGUGUUGGAUUUAUUUAAAAGACAAAAAAAUUGGAUGUCCCUCUUUUAAUUAAGUGCCCUUGUCAUGGGCCUAUUUGUCAUUACCCAUAUAUAUAUAUAUAUAUAUAUAUAUAUAUAUAUAUAUAUAUGGGGCUCUUUGAGAAAACCCCCUCACUAUUUUUUUUAAUAGAGGGAGGCCCAAAAUAUUUUAGUCCAUUUGAGAAAAGUCCACACCCAUUUUCAGCCAUUAUAUUUUCCAGCUUUACCCCCGCCCGCCAUCUCAUCACUAAAUCACGCGCUCCGCUAUUGUUUUUUUUUUUUUCCGUUUUUUUAAUCGACUAUGAAGCAUAGUCGACUAGUCUUAAAUCGACUAUGCUUCAUAGUCGAUUAAGGACAUUCUUUAAUUUUUUAAUUUUUUUUUUGUUUUUUUAAUUUUUUUCUACAUCAGGUAUAUUAAAUGGACUAUGAUGAAUUGCAUAGUCAAUUAAGAAUCUGCUACUAAACAUUACAAAUCACAAUUGCAAAAAAAAUGCACAAUCAACUAUAUUUUACAAAAUACAAAAAAUAUACAAACAUUAUAAUUGAUUUAUACAAUUAGAAUCAAUAAACAAAAUCCAAAAAAAAAAUACAAAAUUGGAGUCGAUCAACCUUAAUCGACUUUCAGAGCAUAGUCGAUUAGCUUAAUCGACUAUUGAGUAUGUACAUAGUCGAUUAAACUUUCAGUCUGCGCGAAUUUCUCUACACCACCAGCCCAGGCAAAAACCACCAAAACAAAACCACACAUCAAAAAAUUUGCAGCAAAAUUAUAUUAAAAAUCCAUAACCUGCCCUCCGUUGGCCAAUAAUCAUUGCCUGAAAAUUUCGAAUCAAACCCAAAUUAUUUGUACCAUCACCACACCAUAUCAACUCCUCUAAAACACUAUACUCCACCCCUGCAUCACCGCAUUGUACCUUACCCUCCAUAAAUUGUACAUUGCACUCAUACCUGGGUAUUCUUCACUCCCCAUAAAUAUUCACGAUCUUUUGUCUUCUCCAAUUUUCAUUUGUAGCAAAUAGCUUCUGCAAAAAAAUUGAUGAAACAACCAGCCCCAAGGAGCGGCUACUCCGCCUCAGGCGGCGGCAUAUCCCGUAAGCCGCCGUACCACCAUCUCAAGAUCUCCUCCAGCAACAGAGCAUGAAGGCCGGCAAGGAUUAUCACAGAAUAUCCACCUAAGCCACGUAUUAAGAAUAUCAUGAAGGCCGACGAGGAAGUGCGCAUCAUAUCGGUGGAGACGGCGGGGAAGCGGAGUGGAGAGAAUAUGGUGAGAUUUGGAUGGAGGAAAAUAAAAGACGAGAGAAAUGGUAGGUUGGAAUUAUUAAAGAUUCAUUUUGCUAGAAAUAUACCUAAGGGGGUUUUCUCUAAUUAUUUUUGGGAAAUGAUGUUUUCUUAACUACAUUUCCUAGAUGAGGGGGUUAUUGCUAACUAUCCAUAUAUAUAUAAAACUAAGGGUAAAAUUGUAAAAUCAAUUAUUUGGAGAAAGUCAACUUGCCAUGUCAGCACACCACAAACGGAUUGGAAACGGAGGGUUAGUUUGUUACGUUUUGUAGUUUAGGAGGUGUUUGUGACAGACCCUAUAAUUCAGGGGUGCAAACUGUACUUUCCCCUAUAAUUUAUAUAAGAUUAUGGUGACAAAAUAAAAUAUUGAAGGGUUAAGAAACAUAUUUAAAAAAAAAUGGGGAGGACAAGACUAAUAUUAAAAAAAAUUAACUACAAGAUACCUAAAAAAAAAAAAAAUCUUAGGGAGGCUACACCCCCACAUUUAGGAAAAGAAAAUUCGUAGGGAAAAUGAUACAAGAGACAUGAUCAUGCUUAAAGAAAAAACUAUACUAUAUAGGAAAAUUUAGUAAGACCCCCUCAUUUGGAAUAAUCAUUUGAGAUGGAACCCCUUCAAAUAAUUAAGGGAAAAGUACAGUUUGCACCCUGAAUUAUGAGGAUUGUCCUAAAUGCCCCCUUGAACUACAAAACGUAACAAAACACCUCCUCCAUUUUCAAUCCGUUUGUUUGUAAUGACGUGGCGAAUUGACUUUUUUAUCUUUUAAUCUUUUUUUAAUAUUGUACUAUCUUUUGACCUUUUCACCCUCAACAAAUACAUUAUAUUAAGCCCAUAUGAAUUUUACGAAAAAAAAAGCCUACGUAGAGCUUUUUCAUCUUCGACCAAGCAAACCCCCAACAAUUGCAGUAAAUUUGGAUGCUUCAAUUGCUUCAAGAUCUCAGCCCAAUUACCAUUAUUUAUAGCGUCUUUUCUCCCAUUCCAUACACUCUUUUCUCUUUUGUUCUUCUUACUGGACCUCUCAAUGUAGAACCACCACAUACGAAAUUCAAGCAACAUAAAUGCGGCGCCAUCGAAAACCCUCACCGCCAACGAUUGUAACUAAACGUAGCCCCGCCACCUCUUCCUUCUAGACAAUUUCCCCCCUCCCCCACCCAGAUUAUCAGUUGUCCACCCCAGCUCAUUCCUCGUCCCCAAACGGCGCCUCUCAAAGGGGGCCUCAGCAAGCCUUUGAGCCACUUCCGCCGCUUCCAUUUGUGUAUCAUGUGGCGGAAUCGCUGAUCCCCGCCUACAUGCGGCUCCUGCACCUGUAUUUGGCCGGUCAAUCUAUUUUGGGAUAUCACUAGCUUUGGAGAGAGAAUUGUGAUGGGUGUGAUGUGGGGAGGUGUUUGGAUAGGGGAAAGAAACGUUGAGUAGGGCUGGUACAAAUUUUCUAAAUACAUUUAAAGGGUCAAAUAAGUAAAUUCACAU